AGAGUUUGAUCCUGGCUCAGGACGAACGCUGGCGGCGCGCCUAACACAUGCAAGUCGAACGAGCGAGAGAGAGCUUGCUUUCUCGAGCGAGUGGCGAACGGCUGAGUAACACGUGGAGAACCUGCCCCCUCCCCCGGGAUAGCCGCCCGAAAGGACGGGUAAUACCGGAUACCCCGGGGUGCCGCAUGGCACCCCGGCUAAAGCCCCGACGGGAGGGGAUGGCUCCGCGGCCCAUCAGGUAGACGGCGGGGUGACGGCCCACCGUGCCGACAACGGGUAGCCGGGUUGAGAGACCGACCGGCCAGAUUGGGACUGAGACACGGCCCAGACUCCUACGGGAGGCAGCAGUGGGGAAUCUUGCGCAACGGGGGGAACCCUGACGCAGCGACGCCGCGUGCGGGACGGAGGCCUUCGGGUCGUAAACCGCUUUCAGCAGGGAAGAGUCAAGACUGUACCUGCAGAAGAAGCCCCGGCUAACUACGUGCCAGCAGCCGCGGUAAUACGUAGGGGGCGAGCGUUAUCCGGAUUCAUUGGGCGUAAAGCGCGCGUAGGCGGCCCGGCAGGCCGGGGGUCGAAGCGGGGGGCUCAACCCCCCGAAGCCCCCGGAACCUCCGCGGCUUGGGUCCGGUAGGGGAGGGUGGAACACCCGGUGUAGCGGUGGAAUGCGCAGAUAUUCGGAGGAACACCGGUGGCGAAGGCGGCCAACUGGGCUUUAACUGACGCUGAGGCUCGAAAGUGUGGGGAGCAAACAGGAUUAGAUACCCUGGUAGUCCACACUGUAAACGAUGAUAACUAGGUGUGGGGGGUCUGACCCCUUCCGUGCCGCAGCUAACGCAAUAAGUUAUCCACCUGGGGAGUACGACCGCAAGGUUGAAACUCAAAGGAAUUGACGGGGACCCGCACAAGCAGUGGAUUAUGUGGUUUAAUUCGAAGCAACGCGAAGAACCUUACCAGCACUUGACAUCCGACUAACGAAGUAGAGAUACAUUAGGUGCCCUUCGGGGAAAGUCGAGACAGGUGGUGCAUGGUUGUCGUCAGCUCGUGUCGUGAGAUGUUGGGUUAAGUCCCGCAACGAGCGCAACCCCUGCCAUUAGUUGCUACGCAAGAGCACUCUAAUGGGACCGCUACCGACAAGGUGGAGGAAGGUGGGGACGACGUCAAAUCAUCAUGCCCCUUAUGUGCUGGGCUACACACGUAAUACAAUGGCCAUCAACAAAGAGAAGCAAUACCGCGAGGUGGAGCAAAACUAUAAAAAUGGUCUCAGUUCGGACUGCAGGCUGCAACCCGCCUGCACGAAGUUGGAAUUGCUAGUAAUCGUGGAUCAGCAUGCCACGGUGAAUACGUUCCCGGGUCUUGUACACACCGCCCGUCA
rnacentral:rRNA from 1 species